AAGCGUUUAUGACCAGACUUGGGCUUGGUUAAUCAUCUGGGGUUCUCCCCAGUGCACUUUUCCAGUCCAGGCCAGCAUCAGUUUUCCCCGGGGGAUAAAGGCUUUGGGAAUGUAGCUCUUCCGGGAGUGUUAUAGCCCGUUGCACAAUACCUCUGAGGGGACCGAGGUUCGCGCUCUGCAAGGAUGCUGGCGUAAUGGUCAUCA
rnacentral:rRNA from 1 species